rnacentral:rRNA from 1 species
AGAUUGAACGCUGGCGGCAUGCCUAACACAUGCAAGUCGAACGGGAGUAGCAAUACUCUAGUGGCGGACGGGUGAGGAAUACGUAGGAAUUUGCCCUUAAGUGGGGGAUAACCCGGGGAAACCCGGAUUAAUACCGCAUGACCUCGAAAGAGCAAAGUGGGGGAUCGCAAGACCUCACGCUUUUGGAGAAGCCUACGUCGGAUUAGCUAGUUGGUGAGGUAAUGGCUCACCAAGGCGACGAUCCGUAACUGGUCUGAGAGGAUGAUCAGUCACACCGGAACUGAGACACGGUCCGGACUCCGUACGGGACGCAGCAGGUGGGGAAUAGUUGGACAAGUGGGCGCGAAGCCUGACUCCAGCAAUGCCGCGUGUGUGAAGAACGUCGUUACGGUUAGUAAA